ACUUAAAUAGCUUAUAAGUUAGAGCAUAAUAUUGAAGAUAUUAGGGAGAUUAUUUUAUCUUUAAGUA
rnacentral:tRNA from 1 species